GAUGAACGCUGGCGGCGUGCCUAAUACAUGCAAGUCGAGCGAACAGAUAAGGAGCUUGCUCCUUUGACGUUAGCGGCGGACGGGUGAGUAACACGUGGGUAACCUACCUAUAAGACUGGAAUAACUCCGGGAAACCGGGGCUAAUGCCGGAUAACAUUUAGAACCGCAUGGUUCUAAAGUGAAAGAUGGUUUUGCUAUCACUUAUAGAUGGACCCGCGCCGUAUUAGCUAGUUGGUAAGGUAACGGCCUACCAAGGCAACGAUACGUAGCCGACCUGAGAGGGUGAUCGGCCACACUGGAACUGAGACACGGUCCAGACUCCUACGGGAGGCAGCAGUAGGGAAUCUUCCGCAAUGGGCGAAAGCCUGACGGAGCAACGCCGCGUGAGUGAUGAAGGUCUUCGGAUCGUAAAACUCUGUUAUUAGGGAAGAACAAAUGUGUAAGUAACUGUGCACGUCUUGACGGUACCUAAUCAGAAAGCCACGGCUAACUACGUG
rnacentral:rRNA from 1 species